rnacentral:tRNA from 1 species
GGCUCUGUGGCGCAAUGGAUAGCGCAUUGGACUUCUAGUUUAGAGUGAAUGAGAAGGGAUUCAAAGGUUGUGGGUUCAAGUCCCAUCGGAGUCA